rnacentral:rRNA from 1 species
UUAACCUACGGGACGCAGCAGUGGGGAAUAUUGCACAAUGGGCGAAAGCCUGAUGCAGCAACGCCGCGUGAAGGAAGAAGGGUUUCGGUUCGUAAACUUCUAUUAACAGGGACGAAAGAAAUGACGGUACCUGAAUAAGAAGCCCCGGCUAACUACGUGCCAGCAGCCGCGGUAAUACGUAGGGGGCAAGCAUUAUCCGGAAUUACUGGGUGUAAAGGGUGAGUAGGCGGCAUGGUAAGCCAGAUGUGAAAGCCUUGGCCGUAAACCGAGGAUUGCAUUUGGAACUAUCAAGCUAGAGUAACGGG